UACGUAGGGGGCAAGCGUUGUCCGGAUUUACUGGGCGUAAAGAGCGCGUAGGCGGAAGUUUAAGCGGUGCCUGAAAGCCCCCGGCUCAACCGGGGAGGGUGGUGCCGAACUGGGCUUCUUGAGGGCGAUAGAGGAGAGUGGAAUUCCGGGUGUAGCGGUGAAAUGCGUAGAGAUCCGGAGGAACACCAGUGGCGCAGGCGGGUCUCUGGGCCGGACUACUGACGCUGAGAGCGAAGACGUGG
rnacentral:rRNA from 1 species